rnacentral:rRNA from 1 species
GCGGAUGAAGGGAGCUCGCUCCUGGAUCAGCGGCGGACGGGUGAGUCAUGCCUAGGAAUGUGCCUGGUAGUGGGGAUAACGUCCGGAAACGGGCGCUAAUACCGCAUACGUCCUGAGGGAGAAAGUCGGGGAUCUUCGGACCUCACGCUAUCAGAUGAGCCUAGGUCGGAUUAGCUAGUUGGUGGGGUAAAGGCCUACCAAGGCGACGAUCCGUAACUGGUCUGAGAGGAUGAUCAGUCACACUGGAACUGAGACACGGUCCAGACUCCUACGGGAGGCAGCAGUGGGGAAUAUUGGACAAUGGGCGAAAGCCUGAUCCAGCCAUGCCGCGUGUGUGAAGAAGGUCUUCGGAUUGUAAAGCACUUUAAGUUGGGAGGAAGGGCAGUAAGUUAAUACCUUGCUGUUUUGACGUUACCAACAGAAUAAGCACCGGCUAACUUCGUGCCAGCAGCCGCGGUAAUACGAAGGGUGCAAGCGUUAAUCGGAAUUACUGGGCGUAAAGCGCGCGUAGGUGGUUCAGCAAGUUGGAUGUGAAAUCCCCGGGCUCAACCUGGGAACUGCAUCCAAAACUACUGAGCUAGAGUACGGUAGAGGGUGGUGGAAUUUCCUGUGUAGCGGUGAAAUGCGUAGAUAUAGGAAGGAACACCAGUGGCGAAGGCGACCACCUGGACUGAUACUGACACUGAGGUGCGAAAGCGUGGGGAGCAAACAGGAUUAGAUACCCUGGUAGUCCACGCCGUAAACGAUGUCGACUAGCCGUUGGGAUCCUUGAGAUCUUAGUGGCGCAGCUAACGCGAUAAGUCGACCGCCUGGGGAGUACGGCCGCAAGGUUAAACUCAAAUGAAUUGACGGGCCCGCACAAGCGGUGGAGCAUGUGGUUUAAUU